ensembl:lncRNA
UGUGAACCCUGUGUGGCUAUGAGAGAUCAAUGUAGAUCCAUCAGCUGUAACGAGUGUACCAGUCUGAUGGGGGGAUGUUGAUUAUGGGGGGAGCUGUGCCUGUUGAGGGUAGGGUGUAUGUAGGAAAUCUCUGUAUCUUCCUUUGAAUUGCAUUGUGAACCUAUAACUGCUUCAAAAAAUAAAGUUGAAUUAAAAAAAAUCAUGCUAAGUGAAAGAAGCCAGACAAAAAAAGACUUAGUUGAUUAUCUGCUUCUGGUGGCGUUUAACUUAUACCUCGAUGAUUUGGAAGUUUAAUCUAAAGGCUUGACUUAUGUUUGGCAAGACUAUUUCAUCAGUCAUGCUAUGUACUUCAUACUACAUCGCAUAAGGAGAUAGGAAGUCAAGGAAGGCGUAGCUGACAGCCAUUGGUGCCGGGCCCACAUUCCGCAGGCAUUCUGGAAUGAUCCAGUUCAACUCAAUCUUACUGGAAGCACAUGUGACCCUGCCUGUGGCCUGAGGGAGUGUCUCUCCGUUUGUGUGACAGGGGCCAUGGGUUCAAACCUUCGUCUGGGAAGAUGACACAUUACUUGGUGCACAGGGCAGCUAAGCCAGGGCGCCACCACGACUGAAGCCGCCCGCUCUGGAGCCCAAGCUCCCCAACAAGAGAAGCCAGCGCGCUGAGACGCCCACACGCUGCACCUAGAGAGUAGCCCCUGCUCACAGCAGCCUGGACCCCACGCAGCCAAACAACACACACGCACAGAGGAUGAACAUUUAAGUGUGUGUGUGAGAGAGAGGUCAGUAAACACAAGACUUUGGCAGGAAUGCUGGAACAUGUUAUAACAUGUUCUAGCACAGGCUGGAACAUUAAAGGAAUCCCAAUAAAUCUUGGCACGUGAAUGAAUCUAGUAGGCAGGCAGAGUGGACUGAAUUGUGCUCCCCCACAAUUCACAUGCUGAAAUCCCGGUCUUCAGGACUUCAGGAUGCAUUCGGAGACAAGGACUUUGAAGGAGUGAUGAAGCUAAAACGAGGCCAUUAGUGUAAGCCUAAUGGAACAUGCCUUUUGUCCUUAUAAGGAGAGUAAGCAACCCUAGCGAUUAGCCCCCCAGGGAGAACUCCAGAGAGAGAGGCCCCAGGGAACAACCCACCAACACCUUCAUCUUGGACUUGUGAUCUCCAGAACUCUAAGGAAUACAUUACUAUUGUUUAAGCCCCUUGGUCUGUGGUAUUUUGUUAUGGCAGCCCAGGCAGAUUAAGAGAUUAUCCGCAAGUUAUAAAUGUGUAAACUGAGUUUCAGGGAUUAAGAUCUGUACAGAAUUACGUAAACAGUAAAAGCGUAGACGUGCU